CUUAUGAGCCUCAGGGACAUUGAAGGUGGGGGCCCCAGUGAUCUGUAGCAUGACAGAGGACCUCCCAGGGAUAAUGUGGAAGAUGGUAACGAGGAGGUUCUGGUAGGAGAGAUGGUUGUAUUUGUUUCUUUGUAACUUUGUUGUGAUCGUUCUGCUUUGCCUCACAGAGGACGGACUGAAUGGCUGGUGAAUUAGUUCUCAGGCUCUAAGGCACGGCACACUUGGAAGCCCAUAUUGUUAUUUUUAAUGUAUCAGGACCUCACCACAUUAGGCCCUGGUGCCGGCAUUCGACACUUGCGGAGAUUUCAGGAGGAAAUGGCUGCCCCUGUCCCGCUCUCAGCUUCAGUGACUUGUCAUGAAUCACACAAAUAAUUAGUGAGAGAGCCAAGAUCUCCUGAUGUCUAAAGUUCACUUCCUCUUCUCUUCCUAAACCGAGUGGCUUCGAUGAUGGGCGUCACAAAAUGGGGGUACAUAUCCAGAAUGUAUGAGACCAGGGUUCGAAUGGGGAAAAACAAUCUGUUAUGGCCAUUGAAAGCUCCAUCCCUACACAUGCAAUGGACUAGAGCAGAGGAGCUUAGCCUGUGGCCCAUGGACAGAUUUCAGGGCACCUGGGCCACACAAUACAAAGAAAGAGCAAAUUGCUCUCCUGCAUUUCACUGAUCCCCUCUCACUCCAGAGAGAAGUGAUUCUUCUACAUCUUCACUCAUCUCAACCCUCACACAAGGAGAAUGUUGGAGCCAACUUGCACCAACCCACUAAAGAUAGGUGUAACAUUUUCAGGGUGAGUAUGUACACCUCAGAAAUGAGGACAUGCUCCAAAUCCGGGAAUUGAUUGUUUUCUGGACUGUCUAAACUUAAUGAAGUCAUUAAAAUAAUAAUGCAAAUUAAACUUAAAUGUGUUUUCCUUCAGAGCCCUGGCUAUUACCAGUAGAGCCCAAGUUAUACAGCUCUCUCUUCCCAUUCCAUCACCUAAGGACUUUGCCUCUUAUUCCAGGAAGAUAAUCACUAUGAAUUCCCUCUUCAGCCUUUCUUUCCAUUUCAAAACCCCAAGGCAUCAUUUCCUACUCUCUGUUCCCUUCCCUCAAUAAGGAGGUGGCUUUCUCCUUGCCAAGGCAAGUCUCUUCACAUGUUCCCUGAUCUAAUACUUUUCCUGUUUUCCUACAGAUAGCCCACAACUCAUCCCUUAUCUCUCAAAACUUUCUCUCUAUCCUCUCCCUAUAUAUUAGUGACUUCCCUACUACAUUCAAAAAUGCCCAAGUGCCCCCCAUCUUUAAUGAAAUUUCAGUUGACUCCAACAGGCCCUCUAGCUCAUACAUUAUAAUCUCUCCUCCAUUUCCCAGGGGACCCUCUAGGGAGAAAAAUCCUGCCUCCUCUUCUUGACUCUGCAUCCUCUCUUCUCCAUUAGUCCUUCACCUAGUGUCACCUACUUUAUAUAUCAUGCCCUCAGAAUGUGAGUGUUCCCUAAGCCUCUCCUUCUUCUCUGUCUCUGUCUUUCUCUGUCUGUGUGUGUGUGUCUGUCUCUCUCCUUUCUCUGUCUGUCUCUUCUCUCUGUCUUUCUCUCUUUCUCUCUCUGUCUCUGUCUCUCCUCUCUCUGUCUCUCCUCUGUCUCUCCUUCUCAGUCUCUCUCUUCUCUGUGUCUUUAAUCAUCUCUCUUUCUCUUCACUUUGUCUUCCUGUCUAUGUCUUGAUCCUUUCUUCUUUUCUCUCUGACCUCAGCAGCAUCCUGAGUCUAUCAUUUCUCUACAGAUGCCUCUCAGAUUUAAACCUCUAGCCAUGUCUCCUCUCCUAAUCUUCAAUCCCACCUCACCAAGCGCCAGUUUAUCCAUUUCAAAUGGCCAUGUCCCAGAGAAAUCUCAAAAUCAAUAAGAUGAUAUUCACCGAGGAUAAAUGUUAAGUCUUGUACUUAGGUACCAAAACAAAUCAGCCUCAUGACUCUGAGAUGAGGGAGGCAUGGAUCAACAGUUCUUCUGAGAAGAUUUGGGGGAUUUCAUGGUCUGUGAGCUCCCUGCGAGUGAACAGGGAGAGGGAGUCAGUUAUUGCAGCCAUUAAGCCUUAUUUAGGGUUUGCUACAUUAACAGGGACACAAGUCCCAUGAAUAGGGAGGUGGGUAAUAGUCCCACUUUCUCUGCCUUUCUCCUAGUUCCUUGUUGAGUAUUAUAUUCAAAGCUGGGCAUUGUUGUUUCCUAAGGACAGUGAUAAUAUGAAAAGUGCCCAGAGAAGAGCACCCAGGAUGGCAAAGGCUCAUCAGUUCAUGAAACUUAAUAGCCAGCUCUUCAUUUCAAAGACAAACUCUGACAUCAGAGGUGAUGUCUUUACUAGUCCAUGAACUGGAGAUGAGUGAGGCAGAGAUCCAAAGAGUCAUGGGUCUCACCUUUUCUUCCAUUAUCAUAGAAGUCCAAUGACAAGGCAAAGAUCUUGGCAUAUUUCAUGUCUGAUCAAGCUGUAGGUGCUCCACACCAAAUGCUUCAGCCACCUUCAUGGCUCUUGGAACAAAUUGUUCUCAAUUGCCCAUUCUCCCAGGGGGUCUUCACAUGCUUGGGGUAGAUAGGCCCCUAACCCACUGAUGGGUUUGAGGCCUGUCAGUAGCCCUCAACUUGGUUUAGUCCAUCUGCACAGAUGGUGGGCUUUGCUGGGAUGUGUCUGCUAGGCAUCCAACAGCUUCUUAGGGCUUGGAGAAACAGUAAACUCCAAAGGUGGAUGAGCAUCCCUAAAAGUUCUUGGCAAGCCCUCACACCAGAAGUGCUGGUGCUCUUGGAGCAAUCGAUAGAGAAUCAAGCCUGGGAUCAGGAAGACCUGGAUUCUAAUCUGCCUUCAGAUACUUUCUAGCUGUGUGACCCUGGACAAGUUGCAUAACUCUGGUUGCCUCAGUGUCUUAAUCUGUAAAAUAAACUGGAGAUGGAAAAGGCAAACCACUCCAGUAUCUUUGACAAGAAAACUCCAAAUGGCACCUCAAAGAGUUGAACACAACUGAGCAACAAUAACAACAGGACAUUGGACUGUUGAAACUAUGGAUAUUUAGCAGAACUUAAAGAUAGCAGUCUGGCAGUGUAGAGUGUUGUGGUGGUGGAAUGGUCCUUAGUUUUCUAGGUAGGGAUUUCAGAAGGGAAAGGGACUAGAUUUGUUCAAUUCAUCCACAGAAGAUAGAACCAGAAGAAUCCUGGUUGAAGUUUCAAAGAAACUCGAUGUCAAUAAAAAGUGCAUCAGUGAACUAACGAUGAUCACUGUCCUGCCAGGGCCCAAAUGGAAUGGGCUGCCUAGAGCAGGGAAGGGAGGAACCACCACCUUGGAAGUCUAGCAGUUAUUUUAUGGUGGAGAUUCCACUGAGACAUUAAUUGGACCAGAUGUCUACUGAGAUUCCAACUAACUUUAAAAUUCUUUGAUAACUGGAGGUCCAAUAUAGGUUCAUCCUUUUCCCCACUAAUCCAACCUCUCCCCCACAUUCCCCUAUUUCUGUUGAAAGACCCAUCAUUCUUCUAUUCUUCCAAAUUCAUAAACUUGGCAUUAUCUUCAAUUCCUCACACUCUCUUGUCCAUGCCCAAUGAUAGCUAACUUUUGCCUUUAUGUCCACAGGAGCUCUUACAUCUAACACUUGCUUUCUGCUCACAAAGCCAUCAUCUUAGUUCAUUCACUCCUUGUCUCUCACUUGGAUGAUUUCAGUGGUCUAAGGGGUGUCCCUGCCUCCAGUGUUUUCCCACUCCAGCCCAUCCUCAACCCAGCUGCCAAUGUGGUUUUCCUUGAACUUAUGUCUGAACUGGUUGCUCUUCUACCCAGUCAUGUCCAGGGGCUCCUUAUUGCCUCCAGAAUAAACUAUGAACUUUUCCAGUUACCUUUUAAAUUCCUCUGCAAUAUGGCCCCAAUCCAGCUGCCCUACCUCAAUGGACAUGUCUCCCCACCUCCGACUAUGCAAUACAAACUGGCUACCUCUUUGCUCCUCACAAACAACCUUUUAUCUUCUGUCUCCCUGCCUUGCUCCUGGUCAUUCCCCAUGCCUAGAAUGCCCUCCCUCCUCACCUCUACCUUCUUUUUCUAUAAGACUCAACUCAAGUACCAUUUCUUCCUGAAGUCUUCCUUUCCUGGCCCCACAUCUGCAGAUGCCCUCCUUGCCGCCCUCCCUUCUAUUUAGCGACCUUGAAUCUGCUCUCUUUGUGCCUUUAUCGAUGGCCUAUGGGAGGAUGGGGAGCCAGUUUGGCUCAGGUACAAGUCCCUCUUCUCCUAGCAAAGUCCCUUAACCUUUGAGCUCUAAACAUCUCCCUCAGACUCUACAGUCUUUACAGAGAAGGUGCCCAAAUGAAGCAUUGAUGGAGGGAGGCUCUUCACCUAAGGGUGUCCUAUAUCAAUGAAAUCAGGGGUCAAGCUGAGAAUUUGCCUAAUCCCUUUUCAUUUUGUUUUCUCCUAUAUUUACAGGUAUGCAGAUGUAAAAGGCAUAUCUAGCUCUAGCCAUCUUUUAUCUAUACAUAUAUUCCCCUCUUGGGGGCCUACACUGGGAGUGACCAUGGAACUUUCCAAAUAUUUGUUUUCUUGCUUCCUUUACUUUUACAAGCCAAUGAAAACCAAACUUGUCUCAGACCCCAGAGAGUUAACAAUAACAACCCUUCUCUCCUGGUCUAUAUAAUGAGCCCCUUUCUCAGUUUGUGGCAAAAGUAUCUGCAGAUCAUUCUGGGGUUCUCAUUGGCUGAAGUUUCUUUAAACCCACGCCAAUGUUACCUAGCAACACUCUUCCUCCAGCUCAAAGGGGAACCAAGAGUGUAGGAGUAGGUUGGGCACUCAUAGAGCUUCAUUGUUUAUUCCAUCCCCUUCCUCAGCUUUACCCCUGCUAUGGCAGAACAUCCUCAACCAAAGACCCUCCUACAAAUUUCUCCUUUGUUCUGUAACUCAGCCAUCUUCUCACCUUAGAGCACAAUGCCUAUUCCCCAUCCAGCCAAUACACCAACUUGGUCUAAAAAGCCACUUAUAUUUCAUCCUUCCAUUCACGAUCUCAGGUACAGAUCUGAAAUGGAUGAGAUCAGGGGAUGGAUAAGGGAAAAACCAACCUGGUCCAGCCAUUGAGAGAGCCCGCUAAACAUAUGCAAUGCACUAGGUCAAGGGGUCUUCCCCUACAUACGGCCCAUGGAUAGAACUUAGGGGUCUGGGAAUCUGUCUGUAAAAUGAAAUAGGAAAAGAUUUCAUCUUUCUUUUUCCUAACUUCUAACAGAAAUGUAGCAUUUCCUUCAAUUAUCUAAAAGUAUUCUUCUGAGAAGGGGUCCACAGGCUUCCUUGGAUGGUGAAGGGAGCCAUGACACAAAAAGAAUGAAGAAUCCUUACACUACACUAAAUCUUGAUGAUACAAAGCUGAAACCAAGGAGCAAUCCCUGACCACAAAGUGCUUCCAAUCAAAUGGAGAAAUGACAUAGAAAACAUGUUGAUAAAGGCUUGUGAUUCCAGGGGGGGACAUGUGCAGUGAAAAUAAAAGAUCCAGGCUAAGUGCUAUGAGAAAUCUAAGGAGUGACAAGUGACCACUCAGGUGAAUAACCCAAAAAGGAACUACUGUGGGAAGGGCAAAGGAGCAUGCCAAGCAGCUACUCUCAAUAGUUAAAUUGAUUUGAUUAUGGACAAACCUAGAGAUAAUCAACAAAGGGAAGGAUUUCCCUCCUGAAUCAUUAAGAAAGAUUAGGAAAGGCUUUCUCUAGAAAGUAAGAUCUUAUCUGGCACUUUAGGAAGUCAGAAAAACCAGGAGGCAGAGAUAUCAGAGGGAGGGAAUUCCAGUAGGCAUAGGGGCACACAGAGAAAAUGCCUAGAAGUGAGACAUGGGAUAUCUUGUUUGAGAAAUGGCAAGUCCAGUGUCACUGGAUUGUAGAGGGAAUGGGGGGAAUAGAGUAUAAAUGGUAAGAAGCCUGGAAAGAUGUGUGUUAGUGGGGAAACAAGGCUGGAUUCUGGAAGGCUUUGAAAGACAAGAAGAGGAUUCUGGAAGGCUUUGAAAGACAAGAAGAGGAUUUCAUAUUAGGUCCUGGAGGCGAUAGGGAGCCAUUGCAGUUUACUGAGUAUGAGGGUGACACUGUCAGCUUUUAUUUUAGGAAGACUCCUUUGACAGGUGAGUGGAAGAAGGACUGGAGUGGAAAGAGAUUUGAAGAAGGCAGAUCACCUCUAAAAUCCAUGAUCAGGCUAUCGCAAAAGUCAAGAUAUGAGGUGAUGAGGGGUCUGAACCUUGGUUGGGAUGUGCAGCUCUCAGAGUAGGAAAAAGGACCAUAUGGGAAAGAGGUUAUAAAAGUACAGUGGACAAGUCUUGGUGAGAGGCAGAACAUAGAGGGAUGAGAGAGAGGGAAGAGUCUAGGAUGACACCUGUCUUGGGAGCCUCGGGGAAACUGAAGUUGGGGGCUUGAGUGCUUGGGAGCAUAACCAUGAUCCUCUCAGUAGUAAUAGGGAAGAUGGUAGCAGGGAAGGACUAGGGGUAACAAUGAGUUGUCUUUCUUUACAAUGUUGUUGUCAUUGUUCUGUUCUGCAUCUCCGAAGCCUUCUCACAUCCUCUGACAUUGUCCAUUUCCUCAUUUCUAAUGACAUCAUAACACUAUUACAUUCAUAUGCUAUAAGUUGUUUAGCCAUUCCCCAGGAGGGAGGGCAGCCCUUUUGUUCCCAAGAAUUUUUCCUACAGUGAAAAGAGUUGCUACAAAUACUUUUGUCCAUAUAAGACCCUAGAUAUCUCAGAGUUUUCUGUUUCUCCUGGUAAUGGACUAUGUGUCUAUCGGGUGCUGUCAUGGAGACUGGAAUGGGUGGAGGACAGGAGCAAAGAUCAGUGGAUCAGAGAUUUCCAUCUGGAAAGGACUUUGGCACCUACCUCGUCCAAAUCCUUCCUUUCAACCCUGCGAAAACUGAAACCCAGACAGAAGCAGCCAGGUGGGUCAGUGCAUUGAGCAUGAACCAAGAGGCAGGAAGAAGAGGUUUGACAUGCCACCUCAGAUUCUUCUCUGCUGCUGGAUCUUAGGCAAGUCACUUCAACUUAUCUGAGGCUCAGUUUCCCCAUCUGUAAAAUAGAGGAAAUAGAAUCAUUCCAAUUUAAAUUCUUUGCCAACUCUAAAUCUGUGAUCUAAUUAUCUAUGAUUCUGAGAUUCUCUUCCCCUAUGACUACAAACUAACUCUUCCACUGCUUAAAAAAAAACCUGCUCUUAAGAAGUCUUCAUAUAAAUCAAACUCAUUUCUACUUCCAAAACUUCCUCUUUCCUCUCUUACUUUUCCUGACACCUAAUUGAAGAUGCUUUUCCUCCAAAAAGUAAGGCCACCCAACAGUGAUCUCUCCUCUACUCAGAAGUAUCUAUGGGGAGUAUCUAUAGGGGCUUGAACUGUUCUCUUGUUAUCCCUUGAAUGUUGUGUCUCCCCUCAACUAAUAUUAAGUAUGAGUACUGAUAGAACAUGUUAAGGUUUACAAAGAACUUAAUAUUUUUCCAUUUAUAUUCACAACAACCCUGGCAGGCAGGUGCUAUUAUUAUCCCCAUUUUGUAGAUUUUGAAACUAAGACAAACAGAAGUUAAGUUAUUCUUCCAACUAGUAGAUGUCUGAAACAGAAUUUGAACUUGUGUAUUCCUGACUCCAAAUUCAAUUCCCUAUUCAGUGUAUUACUGCCUCUGAUUCUAAAACUUUAAUGAUUCUGAUGAGAUUCUAAGCUUCUUAAUCACAAACAUUUUUCAUCUUCCAUAUGAAUUUUUCAUCCCUUCCAUAUGGUGCCAGGGAUAUCAAUGGUUGUUGAAUUAGUUCUCUGAAUAUUCUUCCUAGCAGAGGCACUAAGCCAUGGCAGCUCUGGGUAUUAUGGUUUACUAAGCACACUAAUGACCUGGAGUGCAUCCAGAGAAAAGCAUCCAGAAUGGCAAAGGGUCAUCAAUGCAUGACACAUUGCUGUUGUCCUUCAUUGUCCUUCAUUGACAGAACCAAUGACAUCACAGGAUGAUGUCCUGACUUAAAUUCCCAUUGGAGCUCCACAGAGUCAUAGGUCUCAUCUCUCUUCCAUUAUCAUAGAUAUCUGGUGGCAAGAGAGUGGUCUGGAAGACUGGCUGUGGCCUGGGGUGGAGUGGAUGACCUUGGCAUCUUCCAUGUCUUCCUAAGCUCUAGAUGCUCCACACCACCUACUUCAGCCACCUGCACGGCUCUUGGAACAAACCGUUCUCAUCUGCCCAUUCUGCCAGGGGAAGUCUUCACAUGCUUGGAGUGGACCUCUCCUAUAUCACUGACAGGUUCAGGUCUGGUCUUCCAGUGUCUACCUCCAGGAUCGCAACCCCGUGCCCCUCCCUCCAAUCCACCAUCCAGAUCUAAAAAUCCACUAUCUUCCAUCCUUCCACACAACUCCCAGAUAUAGAACUGGGAUGAUUUACAAAGUAAGGGAAUGGGUGGGGAAAACGUUCUAGUCCUACCCCUGAAAGAUCAUGCCAUAAACAGCCAAUGCACUAGACCAGGGGAUCUUAACCUAUGGCUCAGGGAAAGAUUUCAGGGUUGGGGCGUCAGCAAAAUUAGGUACGAAAUUAUUACAUCUUCCUUUUCCCUAACCUCUAACUGAAAUGCAGCAUUGCCUUCAAGGAUCUAAAAGCCAUCUUCUGGAUGGGGUCCUUAGGCUUCCCUGGACGACCAAGUGUACCAUGACACAAAACAGGAGAACAAUCCCUCCCUGGAUUGCACUGAAUCUUGAUGAUACAAAGCUGAAACAAAACAGUCUCUGCCCUGGUCUUUCAGUACCUUCCUCCAGGAGUGCUUCCAGGCUAAUGAGGGAAGGAUAUAGAAAGUAUGAACAGGGGGCAGCUGGGUGGCUCAGUGGAUGGAGAGCCAGGACUAGAGAUGGGAGAUCCUGGGUUCAAAUCUGACCUCAGAUACUUCCAAGCAGGGUGACCCUGGACAGGUCACUUGACCCCCAUUGCCUAGCCCUGACCACUCUUUUGCCUGGGAGCCAACACACAGUAUUGACUCCAAGACAGAAAGUAAGGGUUGUUUUUUUUUUAAAAGCAUGAACACAAAGAACUGUGAUGCAAUGGGGCAUAUAUCCAGUGUAAAGUAAAGGACCAAGCCAAGUGAUAGGAGAAAUCUAAAGAGGGACAGAUGGCUGUUCUGGAGUGAAUAGCCAGAAGAGUAUGGGGACCCAUUGUGGGGAGGACAGAGGAUCCAUGCCAACAUAGCUAAUCUCAAGAAUUAAAGUUGUCUGAAUAUUUUUAGGGUCUGUCUCUUGUCUACAUUUGUAAUUCCCUCAUCCAGCACAGGGCUUAUUAAUACACAGUAAGCCGUUAAUAAAUGCUCACUCUUUGUCAAUCAUCCAAAAAGCAUUAAUUAAAGGCCUACUGUGUGUCAGGCACUAAUGAGAAUAGAAAGAAUGAAAGGGACAGUUUCUUCUCUUAAGGAGCUCACAGCCAGUGGGGACACAAGAAGCAAACAACUCUGCACAAACAGGAUUCAGACAAAAUAAAUUGUAGAGAAUCUCAAAGUGAAGCCACUAAGCACUUAAUAAAUGCCUGUGGAUUUAUUGAUUGAAAUUAAAUAGAAAUUAGAACCAAGUCAUUAUAAAAAUCUCCAUUCCCCAAAUCAAUUCUAAUACUUGAUUUCUGGGGUUUUAAUCCCUAAAACCCUGCUGCAUAAUCAUCAGUUAAGCUAUUACGUCAAUCCUUCAUUGUAACUUGGAGUCUAGUUUUCUUUUCGUGCAUUUAUUCAUUUCUUUUUAUCACAUUUAUUAUCAGUUCCUCCCUCCUCCACAUUCCAUUUCCCACAACUGAAUGAUUAAAGAGGCAAAUUAAAUUAAAAUCUCCACAAUAAAUGUACAGAGAUUGGCAAUACAACUUCCCACAUUGGCCACUUCCAAAAUAUGGCUCAUUCUGCCUCUUGAAUCCAUUUUCUCCUCUAGAGAGGAGGACAUCUUGCUUCACCCUCAGGUACUCUGGCAUCACCCCAAUGAUCACAGGACAAUGAUCACAGUUCCAUGUCUUUAAGUCUUUCAGACCUGUUAGCCAGCUAGCCAAUAAACAUUUUUGAGAGCCUACUAUGUGCCAGCCACUGGGCUAAGUCCUGGAGAGAAAAGGAAAAUCAAAAACUGCCCUUCAGGAGGUCUCAAGUCAUGUAAACAAUUAUGGACAAAAACAUGUACAGGAGAGCUUGAAGAUAAUCACCAGCAUGGAAGGAUUUCCCUCCGAAAUCAUUAAGAUAAGGAAGGCUUCCUGGAGGAAGUUCGGGUUUUAGCUGGGACUUGAAGGAAUCAGGGAAAGCAAGAAGCAGACAUGGGGAGAAAGAAAAUUGUAGUAGGCAUGGAGACAGCCAUAGAAAGUGUCUAGAACUGAGAACUGAGGUGUCUUGUUUGAGGAGCAGCAAGACCUUGUAGGGUAUCUGGGUGGAAAAUGUGAGAAGACUGGAAAGGUAUGGGGGAGGGAGGGUUGGGGCUUUGAAAGCCAAAAAAGACAAUUCUAUAUUUGGUCCUGACAGUGAUAGGGAGCUACUGAAAUUUAUUGAAUAUGGGAGUGGCACAAUCAGAAUUUAGCUUAAAGAAUAUCCCUUUCUUAGGUGAUUGGACGAUGGAAUGGAAUGAUAUGGGAAUAAAGGAAAACAAACCACUCAUACUCUGGCCAGACUAUUGCAACAGUCAAGGCAUGAGGUGAUGAGCAUCUGAGCCCUGAGAGAGGAAGAGUUGUCAGAAUAAUGAAAGAUGAUACAAAUGUAAAAUGGACAAGCCUGGGCAAGAGAAGGUAACAGAGAGUCCCAGGGACACUGAAGAUGGGAGCCGAGUCAUUAGGAGGAUGACAGUGGUAUCUUUGACAGUAAUAGAGAAGAUGGUGACAGGAAGGGUCUGGGGGUAAACUGAGUUGUCUUUCUUUACAAUGUUGUUGUCUUUAUUUUGUUCCGUACCACUGGAGUCUUCUCGCAUCUUCUGAAGCUGUCCAUUUUGUCAUUUCCUGUGAGCUCAUAACUGUGUAUAACACUCGUAUUUCCGAAGUUGUUUAAGCCCAGGAGGGAGCACUCCAUGAGUUCCCAGAGCAUUUGGUCAUCGUCAAAAGAGCUGCUACAAAUAUUUUUGUCCACUAGUUUGUCCUGGCUAUGGACUGUGUGUCUCUAGGUGCUGUCGGGGAGGUUGGAAUGAUGGAUUAGACGGAGGACAGGAACAAAGAGGACUUGUCCAAGGUCACACAAAUACUUAUUGAAAGAGUCAGGACUGAACCAAAGGCCAGCUGACUUCUAGAGUUAAGCACUUCUCCUCUGAGAGCCUAAGAAAUGACAAAAUGGACAGUGUCUGAGGAUCUGAGAGCUUAGUGAAGUGAAAGAGUAAAAAUAAGGACCACAUUAUAAAGAAGGGCAACUCAUCUCUACCCAAAUCCUCCCUGGCUACUAUGUCCCGUAUCAUCCUUGAGGAAACCACUGUUAUCUUCCCGGCUCCCAACAUCAGUAUCCCUGGAGCCCACAAGCCCGUGUCAUCCUUGAAUCUUCCCUCUUUCUCCCCUCCUCCAUAUUUUGUCUUUUGUCAAGGCUUAUCCAUUGUACUUUUGUGAAAUCUUUCACGUGUGACCCUUUCCCCUGCAUUGACACCUCCUCUCCCAGGCUCAAGCCUUCAUCAUCUCAUGCCUUGACUAUUGCAAUAGCUUCCUGGGGACAGUCAUCUUGUCUCUGCUGUCUCCCCAUUCCAGUCUGUCCUCCACUCACCUGACAAAGGGAUCUUCCUAAAGAAAAUUUUUGGCUAUAUCACCCCCAUAUCCAAUAAACUUCAGUGGCUCCCUAUCACCUCCAGGUUCAAAUAGGAAGUCCUCUUCUUGGCUUUCAGAAGCCUUCAUAAUCUAGCCUUGUGUCCUUACCUCCCAUCCACAACUUUCCAGUCUUAUACCUUGUACCCUACACUCCCAUGUACCUGAAAAUCCAGUGACCCCAGUCUUGCUGUUCAAGUCCUAGCUAAAAUCCCACCUCCUAUAGGAAGCCUUUCCUGAUUUCCCUUAUGGAUUCAGGAUGAAAUCUUUACCUCCAAGCUAUCCUAUAUAUAUAUAAUUUAUACAUAAUUGUUUGGUGUUUUCUGCCCUUUUAGACUUGGGAGCUCCCCAAAGAUAUGGAUGUUUUCCCUUUCUUUCACUCCAGUAAUCAGUCCGGUGUCUGGCACAUAGUGGGAGGUCAAUAAAUGUUUUCCAACUGACUGACCACUAUGAACUACCUAGACUUGGAACUCUGAUCAUGAAUCCAUGAUUCCAGAAGCCCAGAGAACAAAGCAGAACACCCUCCUCUCUGGAGGGGAAAUGGACUCAAGAUGCAGAAUGAGACAAGACAUAGCCUGGAAAUGGCCAGUGUAAGAAUUUGGUUUUCUGAUUAUGGAUACUCAUUGUAAUGAUUUUUAUUCCAUUUUAGUUUUUAAUUGUUCAUUUAGGAGAAUGGGAAAGUGGAGAAGGAUUGAUAAUAAACAUGACAAAAAUGAAUGAAUGAAUGACAAAAAAAAAAGAAAUUUGGGGUCCUUUCCAAGCCAAAAUAGGGGAUUGGAAUAGUAGCUUUAUUAAUGAUUAUGCUGCAAAAACAAGUAUUACAGUUAAUUGGGGGGAAAGAGAUUUUAAUAACUAUCUGGUGCUAAUCUCAAUUUCAUUUCAAACAAAGAAUCCACUAGCAUUUACCAACUGCUUAUCCCCUUGUCUGAUAUUCCCUCCAAUUUAUUCUGGCUCUAUCUUGUUGGUACAGAACUGUUUGCUUCUCGUCUCCUCCAUUAGACUGGGAGCUUUUGAGAGAAAGAACUCUUCUUUUGCUAGUCAUUCCAGCAAGCCUGGCACAUAGUAGGCCCUCACUUAAUGCUUGUUGACCCACUGACUCACUAAGCCCUGUGCUGGAUGAGAUGGAAUCACAAAGGCAGAAAAGACCUCAAUUAAAUUUGACUCUGGAGGCCCGAUGCUUGCUGGGAGUCCUGUGCCCUCCCCACCAUGGGUCACUAUCCUCUUCUAGCUGACCCCUUAGGUUUCUCUGAACGUCUUAGUCACAGCCCCUGGCCCUCCAGGGACGCCCCAACAGCGCUUUAGAUCAUUGAAGUACAUUUCAGUGAGAGGUUAGGGAAAACCAAGGGAGAGGAUUUCCCCCGGAAUUGGACAGAACCCCACCCUUGAAAUCUAGCCCCGGGCCCAGGCUCAGCCGCCCCCAACACCAAAGGACCCCGCAGAUGUGGGCAAACCCAGCUUGUUUGAUUCCUUCCCAUUCCCGACUCCCCAAAGCCCAGCUAUGUACCUGGGAUGGGGGGAUGGGGGGAGCUCUGCGGAUUUUUAGACAUGAUUGAUAGACUGGAGGGACGGAGCCCUGGGUUGGGCUCCUGACAAGGGUUCAGAAAAGCUGCGUUUAUUUGUUCGAGGUGAGAAAAUGGCAGAAUCGUAGAACAAAGGGAAAGGGGUCUGACAGUCUUCAGUUGAUUCUGGGCCGCCAUAGCCGGGGUUGGGGGCACAAGGGGGCUC